rnacentral:rRNA from 1 species
CGUAUGAAGUACGUUUCACCUCGGGUGACAGGGAGACAGGUGUGCAUGGUUGUCGUCAGCUCGUGUCGUGAGAUGUUGGGUUAAGUCCCGCAACGAGCGCAACCCCUACGUUUAGUUGCUAACGCGUGAAGGCGAGCACUCUAGACGAACUGCCGUUGACAAAACGGAGGAAGUGGGGAUGACGUCAAAUCAUCAUGCCCCUUAUGUUCUGGGCUACACACGUGCUACAAUGGCCGGUACAGACGGACGCAAAGCCGCGAGGUGGAGCAAAUCCUAAAAAGCCGGUCUCAGUUCGGAUUGCAGGCUGCAAUUCGCCUGCAUGAAGUCGGAAUUGCUAGUAAUCGCAGGUCAGCAUACUGCGGUGAAUACGUUCCCGGGCCUU